UCGGGAGGCAGCAGUGGGGAAUAUUGCACAAUGGGCGCAAGCCUGAUGCAGCCAUGCCGCGUGUAUGAAGAAGGCCUUCGGGUUGUAAAGUACUUUCAGUCGUGAGGAAGGUGUUAAGGUUAAUAACCUUAGCAAUUGACGUUAGCGACAGAAGAAGCACCGGCUAACUCCGUGCCAGCAGCCGCGGUAAUACGGAGGGUGCGAGCGUUAAUCGGAAUUACUGGGCGUAAAGGGCACGCAGGCGGUUAAUUAAGUUGGAUGUGAAAUCCCCGGGCUUAACCUGGGAAUGGCAUUCAAGACUGAUUAGCUAGAGUCUUGUAGAGGGGGUAGAAUUCCAUGUGUAGCGGUGAAAUGCGUAGAGAUGUGGAGGAAUACCGGGCGGCGAAGGCGGCCCCUGGGACAAAGACUGACGCUCAUGUGCGAAAGCGUGGGGAGCAAACGAGGAUUAGAUACC
rnacentral:rRNA from 1 species